rnacentral:rRNA from 1 species
CACGUAGGGGGCGAGCGUUGUCCGGAAUUACUGGGCGUAAAGGGCGCGCAGGCUGUUAUGCGAGUCUGCUGUGAAAUGUACCGGCUCAACCGGUGCCUUGCGGCGGAUACUGCAUAGCUGGAGUACUGGAGAGGGAAGUGGAAUUCCCGGUGUAGCGGUGAAAUGCGUAGAUAUCGGGAGGAAUACCGAAGGCGAAGGCAGUCUUCCAAGCCGUUAUUGACGCUCAACUGCGAAGGUGUGGGUAUCAAACAGGAUUAGAUACCCGGGUAGU